AAAAUUGUUAUCUUCUUCCCUUCACCCACCACCCUCCAAAACCCAGCCAAAAAUCCCGUCAGCCACUUGCCGGCAGUUUAAUCCGACGAUGCCAUUCUCUUAAUCGUCAUCCACUCUCUCGCAAGCCCCGACCACCAACCCCACCCCGGCAAAUCAUCAUAACCUCUAAACUAUUACCAACCCGCCGCCAUUACUUGCCUCGUUUCCUCCUCCGUUUGCCGAUCGAAUCUUCCACCAUAGAAGUAUAAAAACAGAUAUUCCCCAAUUUCUAUUUAAGAAUUCACCACCUCCGGCAAAUCAUCUCCACAUCCACCUUCCCCACCUUGAUUCCACCUCUAAACUAAUUUCAACCCGCCGCCGUCACAUACCUCGUUUCAUCCUCAGUCCGCCGACCAAGUCUUCGACCAUAGAAGUAAAAAAAGGAUCUUCCCCAAUUUUUCUUUUUAAGAAAUCACCAUCUCUGCCUAUGCUCCUUCGAUGUGAAAGAUUGUAAUCUCAUCCCGUUCUUCUUU
rnacentral:lncRNA from 1 species